rnacentral:lncRNA from 1 species
AAGUCUAUUCUGGCAUACAUAGACAAAUUCAGAUUAUAAGACAACUAAUCUAGAUUUUCAACAAGUCAAUGUCAGGAAGAGAAAAAAACAGUAGUAGUAUUGGAGAAGUGGGACUGCUCUAGCUAAAAAGAUGUUUAAGAGACAGAAGAACCAAAGGCAAUGUGUAGACUUUGGACCCUGAUCAAGCAAACUAACCAUACAAAGACAUUUCUGAGACAACUACGGAAAUGUAAAUAAGGACUAGAUAUUGGAUGACAUCAAUGAAUGAUUGAUCAUUUCAGCGGAAUAAUGACAUUAGGAAGAUAAAAGAAAAAGUUGCAAACUUAAGUAUGCUUUAGGGACGCAAACUAAAGUAUGUCAAAAUGCAAUGAGAGAAACUUAGGGUUUGCUGGGGGAAAAAAAUCAGUGUAUCUCUUACUUUCCAAUCCCAAAUAAAUAAAUACAAAUAUAAAACUGUGAAUUGAGAAAAUUGAGUUACUGUGAUUAGACUUUUCAGAAUUUGGUCAAAAAACGACUAAAAGAGAGAACACAAUGAAUGCCCUGAUUCAAUCAUAAAUCAAAAUAAAGUGCUGUCGGCAUAAAAACUGAAGGACGUGAGACUAUCCACACAGGGAAGGCCUAGGCGGCGGGAGGGGAGUGGGCGGCGGGGCAUCACUCUGACCGCACCAUGUAGGACAACCCUGACCUCCGCCCCUUGAGGGAUUUCCUUAGGGCCGCACACAGGGUAUUUCAGAACCAGGACUCCAACCAGAGGCUCUGACUUAGUCUAGGGCUCUUGGUGUCCGCUUUUCAACGCGACAGAAUCCUCUGGAGAACCUAAUCUAUGCUUUUUGCUUUAGAUUUUUUCACUUUCCCGUGUCAGUUAUUCUAAAGUUCAUUCCAUCCUUAAAUAAUCCACCAGAUUAGAAUACUUCAUUUAACGUGCUCAGGCUUAUCUCAGCUGUUUCUCAAAGUGAGAUUUGAUAGAAGAUAAACAAGAACAUGGAAAACAAAUCUGAGCAGCGACCCCGUGAAAACCACCCUAAGCUCUCGGAGCGCAGCGUCCCCCAC